CUAACAGAAUUUUUAUUAGUAUAGCCUGCUCUAUGAAAAAUAAAUGGCCGCAGACUGUCUGUGCUAAGGUAGCAUAAUAAUUUGCCUUUUAAUUGAAGGCUAGCAUGAAAGGUAUUUCAUAUUGUACACUUUAUUAAUCUAAUUAAUUUAAACUAACCUUUUAGUAAAAAGGCUAAAAUUGAUAAGAAGGACGACAAGACCCUGACAAACUUUACAUUUUUGUUUUGCUGGGGAGGCAGAAAAAGAUUAUCUUUUUACAGUUAAUAACAGAAAAAUUCUAUAAUUAUACAAGUUACUGCAGGGAUAACAGCAUAAUCUUUUCCUAAAGACCUUAUAAAAGAAAAAGUUUGUGACCUCGAUGUUGAAUUAGAUCCUCUAAUAAGAGCAAAAUCUUUUUAAGUAAGUCUGUUCGACUUUUAAAAUUCUACAUGAUUUGAGUUCAGACCGGCGUAAGCCAGGUCGGUUUCUAUCCCCUUUAAAAAAUUUUCAGUACGAAAGGACCAAAAUUUUCAUUAUUUAUUUA
rnacentral:rRNA from 1 species